rnacentral:rRNA from 1 species
AUACGUAGGGAGCGAGCGUUGUCCGGAAUUACUGGGUGUAAAGGGAGCGUAGGCGGGAGUGCAAGUCAGAUGUGAAAUACAUGGGCUCAACCCAUGAGCUGCAUUUGAAACUGCAUUUCUUGAGUGAAGUAGAGGUAAGCGGAAUUCCUGGUGUAGCGGUGAAAUGCGUAGAUAUCAGGAGGAACACCGGUGGCGAAGGCGGCGUACUGGGCUUUUACUGACGCUGAGGCUCGAAAGCGUGGGGAGCAAACAGGAUUAGAUACCCUGGUAGUCCACGCUGUAAACGAUGAUUACUAGGUGUGGGGGGACUGACCCCUUCCGUGCCGCAGUUAACACAAUAAGUAAUCCACCUGGGGAGUACGGCCGCAAGGUUGAAACUCAAAUGAAUUGACGGGG